UACAGAGGUGCCAAGCGUGAGGCGGAAUCACUGGGCUUAAAGCGCGUGUAGGUGGUUCGUUAAGUGUCCGCGUGAAAUCCCACGGCUCAACCGUGGAACUGCCGGGCAUACUGGCGAUCUUGAGGCAUUCAGGGGCGAGCGGAACAAAUGGUGGAGCGGUGAAAUGCGUAGAUAUUACAAGGAACACCAAUGGCGAAGGCAGCUUGCUGGGCCUUUUCUGACGCUGAGGUACGAAAGCGUGGGGAGCGAACAGG
rnacentral:rRNA from 1 species